rnacentral:rRNA from 1 species
AGAGCCCGGCUUUUGCCCGGUCUAAAAAGCCGGGCGAAUAAGCGGGGGGCAAGUCUGGUGUCAGCCGCCGCGGUAAUACCAGCUCCGCGAGUGGUCGGGGUGUUUACUGGGCUUAAAGCGCCCGUAGCCGGCCCGGUAAGUCGCUCCUGAAAUCCCCGGGCUCAACCCGGGGGCGGGGGGCGAUACUGCCGGGCUAGGGGGCGGGAGAGGCCGCCGGUACUCCGGGGGUAGGGGCGAAAUCCGUUAAUCCCCGGAGGACCACCAGUGGCGAAAGCGGGCGGCCAGAACGCGCCCGACGGUGAGGGGCGAAAGCCGGGGGAGCAAAGGGGAUUAGAUACCCCUGUAGUCCCGGCCGUAAACGAUGCGGGCUAGCUGUCGGUCGGGCUUAGGGCCCGGCCGGUGGCGAAGGGAAACCGUUAAGCCCGCCGCCUGGGGAGUACGUCC